CUACCUUGGGGUGCUUUCUCUGUUGCCCCAAACAACACUGCAUUAUCUCCAUGUUGAUAAGAGUGUCUGCUACCCGAUUUUUUAAUUUUUACUUUUAGAGAGAGAGGAAGGGCGGGAGAAAGAGAGGGAGGGAAACAUCAAUGUGUGGUUGCCUCUCAUGCGUCCCCUACUAGGGACCUGGCUAGCAACCCAUGCACAUGCCCUGCUGGGAAACAAAACAGAGACCCUGUGGUUUGCAGGCCAGCACUCAAUCUGCUGAGCCACACCAUCCAGGGCAUGCUACCCAAUUUUUUUUUAAAUCUCCUUUCUCUUCUCAUUCAUAGAAAGUUUCUUUGUUAACAACGCCAGAAACCCAGGAACCCCAGCCUCCCUCCGUCUCAUGCGCCCCAACCUGUCAUCUGGUCCUAUAAGUUCUUCCUCCCAAAUCGUUCUGAAUCCAUUUGUACCUCUUCCUCCCCACCCUCUUACCACUGCCCUGGCCCAAGGCACCAAGAGCUCUCACGAUGAAUUCUGUAAUCCAGUUGGUCUCCUUGUGCCCUCCACCCCAGCCCCUUCUAACUGGCUCUCCGUACCUUCUAGAAAAGAUCUUUUCAAAACGUGACUCUCGGGUGUUCAGCCUGGUCCCCCUGGUUUUUCUUUGAACAAGCACUGUGAGCAUCUCCUGGGAGCCGGCUAUGCAUGCACAGUUGGUUUCUCCCCUGGACCCUGCAGGGCUGUGUCCUGACCCUACUGAGGGUUCACUCUCCUGAGACCCCCGCUCCUGAGGGCCCGCUCCUUCCUCCCAGGCCACCACACCAGCCGUCCCCUCCUCUCGCCUCACUCCCCCAGCUCAACUCUCAACUCUCAGCUCCCACCUCCUCACCUAGUUAUGUUCCUGUUACGUAUUCGUGGUACCAGGGACUUUUUCUUCACUUCAUUUUUAUUUUUAUCAAGGUAGUGCAUGCUCAUGGUUUAGAGUCAAAUGGGUCUACAAGGUCUAUUCCAAAAAAAACCCCAAAAACCUGAUAUCCUUUUCCCCAGAGGCAUCUACUUUCAACUCUCUGCUGGUGCCUUUGGGAUUUACCUUCAUUUGCGUUGCUGCUUCCUAAUCUUUCAGUUUCGCAUUAUCCGUUGACUUCUCCCUGUGGGGGAAGGUGGUCGGUAUGAGCCCGUUCCCUCCUUCUGCCCGAUUGACGCACGAGGACCUUCCUAGCCUGUCCCCCUUCUGUUCUCUGCCAAGCCCUUGUGGAAAGCUUGAUUCCUCUCCCUGAACAGCUUUCUGUUUUCCCUGGAGUUUGCUUUGUUUUCAGCAUACUUGCCACAAAUUCUACCCCAGCUUUCUGCCAGUUCUCCAAGUCCCCUCGGGAGGUUUAGGCACGUGGAGCCAUCACCUCCCUGAAGGAAGGCAUCGCACAGUCUUCGCACCGCGCAGGCCUGGACCAGUUGUACCCUCCGCCGACUGCAGAGUCCUUCCUGAGACUUCCUGUCACGGUCAUCCCGGCGUGCCCCCUUGCCUUGCUCUCGUGUUCUCCCAUCCCACGUCUUCCUCUUUCUCACUUUACUCCCUCAUUUAGAUUGAGUACAGCUAACCUGUGAAUAACAUGGGUUAGAACAGUGUGGGUUUACUUACACAUGGAGGUUUUUCAUCUUGUAAACAGACCAUCUAAACCCACAGUAUCAAUACUGUCCAACCAGCACGGUCCAAUACCGUAAAUCUAUUUUCUCUCUCUUCUCUUUUCCUAAUAAUAUUUUCUUUUCUCUAGCUUACUUUAUUAUAAGCGUAUAGUAGGUAAUACAUUUAACAUACAAAAUAUGUGGUAACUGACUGUUUACGUCAUCUGUAAGACUUCUGGUCAGCAAUAGGCCACUAGUAAUUAAGUUUUGGGGGAGUCAAAAGUUAUACACAGAUUUUUAGCUGCUGAGGUCUUGGUGCCCCUAACCCCUGUGUUUUCUGGGUCAGCUGAUAGCUCCCUGAGAAAGAACACAUAGGAGAUGACCUUUUGGGGACCUUGCAUAGUUGAAAAUACGUUCUUCCUACAACUUAGUUGAUAGUUUGGUUGGGUAUAGAAUUCUAGGUUAGAAGUCGUUUUCCUUUGGAAGUUUAAACACCUCAUUCCGUUGUCUUCUGGCUCCAGGUGUUUUUCUCUGGAAGGUUGUAGGAGAUUCUCUUUUUCUCUAAUUCUUUGAAAUUUCAUAGGAUGUGCCAUUAUGUGUCUCUAUUUUAAUCUGUUAUUCUGAGCACUCCGUGGGUUCUUUCAGUCUAGACAUUUGGGUCCUUCACAUCUGGGAAAUUUUCUUAUUGUUUCAUUAGUGAUUUUCUCCCCUCUUCUUCUCUGUCCUUUCUUCUUGAUAUCCCACUAUUAGGAUGUUGAAACCUGGGCCAAAUCCCGAGUUUUUUUUUAAAUGUAUUUCCUUCUAUUUUCAUUGCUCUGUCUUUUCUCAAUUUUCUGGUAGAUUUUAUCUAGUUCGUCAUUCAGUCUUUGGUUUCUGCUCUCCUGUUUUGAACUUAUUAAAGCGCUUUUGGUCUGAAAGUUCCUGUUUUUAUCACAUCCUGUUUUUAUUUAACAGUGGCAGUAUCUACUCAUCUCUGAAAAUAUUAAGUAAUAUUUUUUUUCUCCCUGCAUAGGCCCUGCUCAUUCCAGUUGGUCUUUUUUUCCCCUGAUGGAUUGUAUUUUAAGAAUUGGGGGGUUCAAAAGCUGAUUGCAAUCUCAAAAUUUGUGGGAAGGGCUCUUCCUCUGGGCUCCGUGAUAGGGUGACCCAGGUUAGCUAUUCACUGAGUAAUCCCCCACGGUACUGUCUUCAGGUCAUUUACUUCGGACUGGUUAGCUUCUCCAGAGAAGAGUAUUCUAAUCUCCUGCCAAGAAGAGAGAGAGAGAGAACAAAAUACUGAUGUUUACUUAAUCCCUCUGUUUUGGACACUACUUGCCUUUAUUUGUCCUGGUUUUCCAAAGGCCAGAGAUGCUCUGUUUAACUUUCUGUGAUGAAUGAGCCUGAAGCCUUCUGCCGGGGCAGGAGGGGCACGUCCCAGCCUCUUACAGUAGACGUGGAAUCUGGGCUUCUAACUGCUUCCUGAUCAGACUCUCAGCCCAUCCUUCUUGUUUGUCAGCCCUUCCUGCUUCCCCACCAUCAGAGUUGCUCAGUGCUCCUGGCUCCUGAGCUUUCGACGGGGGGUCUAUGGUGAAGAGUGGGGUGCCUCCUGGCCUCCUUUGCUGCUGGGGGGACUCGGUUUCCUCGGUCCUCUAAGAUACCUACAUAUGUCCCUUGGCUCUCCAGCCUCCUGGGUGUUGUUACUCUUGUCCCUUUCUCGGUGCCCCAUCCUUGAUGGGUAAUUUCCUUUACAGAAAAAUCCCUUUACUGACCUCCUGGUGGGGUUUCAGGAAAGAGCGAAGGUGCGAGUCCAAUCUGCCACCUUCACCCAGAAGCUCCUCUCAUUUGUCACAUUUCUUGUUUCAUGUCCUUUGGAUUUGUCUGCCUCAUCCAGUAGACGGUAAGCUCCAUGAGGCCAGUCUGGGUGUUAUUCAUUUAUUGUGCCCAUCUUCAUCUCCACCCCUAUUUUUUAACAUGAAAAAUCGUCAUCGUGAUAAAACAUACGCAACAUAAAAUUUAUUACUUUAACCAUUGGUUAGUGUAUGAUUUGGUGACAUUCAACACCUUCACAAAGUUGUAUAACAUCACCACUACCUGUACCCAAAAGUUUUCCUCAUCUCCAACAAAAACUCUGAAACUCUGCCUCUUCCCUCACCCCGAUAGCCUCUAUUCCACUUUCUCUGCCUACGAACUUGACUACUCUAGGUAACUCCCAGAAGUGGAAUCACAUAGUCUCGGUUCUUUUGUGUCUGGCUUAUUUCACUGAAUCUAGUGUUUCCGAAGCCCAUCCAUGUUGUUGCAUGCGUCAGAAUUCCUUUCCUUUUUAAUGGCUGCCUACUAUGUUAUUGUAUGAUAUACCCCAUUUUCUUCAUCCCCCACCCUGUUUUAUCUUUAGCGACUUGAGGAGUCCUUGGUGCAUGACAGACACUGAAACAUACUGGAUGGUUCCACCAGCUUCCUCCCUCUUUGCACCUGGACAGCUCCCCUCGUCCAUCGGGGCCUGGCACAGGCACUGCCUCCUUGUGGGGACCCCAGGGCCUCCCCAACGCAGAAGCAAGCGUUCCGUGGUGUCCUGCAGCCAGACUGGACUGUAACUGAGUCCUCUGUCCUGGCUGGCAGCUCCUGAGGGCAUGGCCAGGUCUAGAUUUACAGCCUGCCUCUGGGGGUGUCGGUUCAGUGAAUAGGGAACCCCCUUCCCUCUGGUUUGAAACCCUGGUCGGGACUUAGCAGCCAGCUUCCCCCAACCUCCAUUCCACAUCCUUCUUUUGAACAUCUGUUUACGUUACAGUAGUUGUGUAAACAGGAAAAGAAGCCAUUAAAAUGAAAAUGGAGAAAUUUGGAGAGUUUAUCAAUCUGAAAUGAAAUCAGAAAGGGAGGUUUUAUCCUCUUGAGGCAUUUGGUCUCUCCUAAUGCUCUGACAGCUGAGAACGAAUGGUCAUUAAGAAUCAUUUUCGUUACCAACAGCUUUUUUGUUGGCUUCCUUAAAACAGUUCAUCUCUCUUCACUGAAGAGGCGCCUGGGGAGUCUUGAGCCUGGUGCCAAGACCCCCUGGGGCUGCUGCUGGCAGAGCCUGGUGCCCACAUGGUGUGUAGACGGUGGUCCCAUAAGAUCAUCAUGCAGCUGAAGAGUCCCUGUUGCCUCAUGAUGUCACAGCCCUCGUGACAUCACAGUGCAACACCUGAGUCACAUUCCUGUGAUGAUCGAUGCUGGUGGGAACAAACCUGAGCUUCCAGCUCUACAAAAGCAUCGCAUAUACCGUAUGCGUGAUAUAUAAUACUGGUAAUGCUAAUAGAUGGCUAUUGUUCCGAUUCAUGUGUAUUCUAUUAUUCUAUGCUUUUAUUGUUUUUAGACUGCACUCUUUCUGUUCAUUAAGAAAAGUGGGCUGUAAAAUGCAAUGUCACGUUACGGCGGCAAUGGCCUCAUACAUUCCGUGUUUACCGCGUCCUUUGAUUGCACCAUUUUCUCACAUGACUGAUUUGAUGUCGUCACUUUGCACAGUAACAGGCUGCACAGGGACCGCACGUGAGUGGAGUCGCACGGCAGUUGUCCUCUUGUGACCAUCUUCUUUCACUGAAUGUAAUGGCCUCACAGUUCGUCCGUGUUGCAACAAGUGACAGAAUUUCCUGCCUUUUUGAGGCUGAUUAAUGCUCCAUUGUGUGUGCAAACCGCGCUUUGUUCGGCUGUUCCUCCGUCAGUGGGCACUUGGGGUACUUCGUCUUUCUGCUCUGGUGAAUACUGCCGCUGGGAACACGAGUGUGCGAAUAGCUGUUCAAGUCCGUGCUGCAAUCGUUUGUAAGACUGUAAGUGAGGGCCCUGGCCUGGCAGCCGUGUAGGCGGGAGUGCCAGCCUGUCCGCCAGAAUACUGCGGGUUCGAUGACCAGUCAGGGCCCAUACAGGAGGAACCGAUGUUUCUCUCUCACACUGAUGUUUCUCUCUCUUUUUCUCCCUUCCUCUCUCUCUAAAAUCAAUAAACAUAUCCUCAGGCGAGGCGUAAAAAAAUAAUAGCAACUUUUUUUUUAAAAGACGAUAGGUAAGACAUUGGGUGCAGCUGCCUAUUUUGCUGCAAAGCCCAAAAGUGUAGGCCUGACCUUCGUUCACAGCCAGGCACAGGGCUCGGAAGGCCGCCCGAGGCACUCAGGGCCACGUGCUCUCCUGGGGACCCUCUGCUGCCAGGCCGAGGAGCACCCCUCAGAGGCCUGGAAAGUGAGGUGUGAGCCUGACCUUUCUC